AUAAAAAACAAAUUAUCUCCCACACCAAUGUAGACACCAGGGCCCCGUUCCACAAAGCCAUCAUAGCGCUACGACUGUCGUAAGUCUAUGUUACAGUAUAGGAGGUCGUAGCGCUAUGAUAGCUUUGUGAAACGGGGUCUAGGUGUUCAACAAAACAAUGAGUACAAUAUCUCACACACCAGGUGUUUAACUAAACAAUAGGUUCAAGGUUCUUCACACGUUUCUGCGCACCAGGUGUUCAACUAAACAAUGAAUACAGUUUUUCUUACACAUCUGUUGGCAACAAGUAUAUUAAACUAGUCAAUGCAUAUGUGUUUCGUACACCUUUGUGAGCACCA